UACGGGGGGAGCAAGCGUUGUUCGGAUUUACUGGGCGUAAAGGGCGCGUAGGCGGCACCGCAAGUCGACUGUGAAAUCUCCGGGCUUAACUCGGAAAGGUCAGCCGAUACUGCGGGGCUAGAGUGCAGAAGGGGCAACUGGAAUUCUCGGUGUAGCGGUGAAAUGCGCAGAUAUCAGGAGGAACACCGGUGGCGAAGGCGGGUCUCUGGGCCGAUACUGACGCUGAGGAGCGAAAGCGUGGGGAGCGAACAGG
rnacentral:rRNA from 1 species